AUGCCCGGCGCCGGCCAUGUCCACUACCUCGUCGCGGGAGGCUCCGGAGGAGGCGACGACCCCAGGUACCCCUGGACCUUCAAGUCCCUGCACGAGGUGGACGCCGUCGUCCCUGCCAUCGCCCGUGGAGCACCGGUAGGGCCUGACGGGUGCCCCAUCUGCUUCCGCACAUUCGCCAGUGCCAAGGCCGUCCAUGGCCACAUGCGCAGCCACACGGACCGCAGCUGGCGCGGCAUGGAGCCGCCCCGGGAGACACCCCUGGGCGAGCUCGGGCCGGACGGGCAGCGUUACCCGUACGUGUGCGACCGCUGCAAGAUGCCUUUCCGGACGCGCCAGGCGCUCGGCGGCCACCGCGCCAGCCACAAUGGUGUUGUGCCCAUUUCAUAUAGAUAG
rnacentral:rRNA from 1 species